rnacentral:rRNA from 1 species
UACGGAGGGUGCGAGCGUUGUCCGGAAUCACUGGGCGUAAAGGGCGCGUAGGUGGCCCGGUCAGUUCGUGGUGAAAGCGCGGGGCUCAACCCUGCGUCGGCCAUGAAUACUGCCGCGGCUGGAGCACUGUAGAGGCAGGCGGAAUUCCGGGUGUAGCGGUGGAAUGCGUAGAGAUCCGGAAGAACACCGGUGGCGAAGGCGGCCUGCUGGGCAGUUGCUGGACACUGAGGCGCGACAGCGUGGGGAGCAAACAGGG